rnacentral:rRNA from 1 species
UACAGAGGGUGCGAGCGUUAAUCGGAAUUACUGGGCGUAAAGCGCGCGUAGGCGGCUUUGUAAGUCGGAUGUGAAAUCCCCGGGCUUAACCUGGGAACUGCAUUCGAGACUGCAUAGCUAGAGUAUGGGAGAGGGAAGUGGAAUUUCAGGUGUAGCGGUGAAAUGCGUAGAUAUCUGAAGGAACAUCAGUGGCGAAAGCGACUUCCUGGACCAAUACUGACGCUCAUGUGCGAAAGCGUGGGGAGCAAACAGG